rnacentral:lncRNA from 1 species
UUCUAGCUUUCUAAUUUGUUGGAGAUUGAGUUUUUCUGAAUUGGGUGUGAUUAUUAUUGCAGCUUUAUUCCUGUCACGUUUCUAGAACGUAACAGAACUCUUUUAGCUGCAUCAAGUGUGCAAGUCUAAAACAAGGAAGUGCUUAUUCCCAUAUAUAUUUUUUUGUGCACAUUGCUUGGCUAAAGGUGUAAGUGACAGCAGUCUUUGUUAUUUUUGUUUGCAGGAUUGGACCUAGAUAGUUCUUGAUUGAGACCGAAAGUUGAAAGGAAUAUUUGGACAUUUGAAGAUUUCGUGCAAGGUGAACUGGACCGUAGCAGCAGGGGACUAUACAACAGUGUUGAAGCAUUAGACCGUAGCAGCUUAGUGGGCUGCAAGAUUUGGGUCGUGAUUUUUCUGCAGAGUUUGUUUUGUUUGUAUUUUUUUCUUUUUCUUUGUAUUUGAUGGGCUUGUGUCAGCCCACUGUCAUUGUUAGUCUUUAGCUUUAGUUCUUGUUUGUAAAAGGCC